CCUAGCCGCUCUGCUGGAUGAAGGACACGACGGCCGCCAUCUCCGCCUUGUCCUUGUCGCCGUCGCCACUGAUUUUGUCGAUGAAGUAGACGUGUCCCUCGUCUCGCCCUGGUUCUCGUACAGAACAGCCUCCUCCCCGGCCCACGCGCUCCCCCUCAGGCCUCAGCGCGUCGACGUACCGCCGGCCCCUGUCCCUCAUCGUGUCGAGCUCGGCCACGGUCACCAGAGCACGCCGGCAGCCGAGCCUCGCCCACUCCUCCGCCGGCAAAGCCAGAGGAUUGAUGAAGGGGUGGUCGCCCACUCCUCCGCCGGCAAAGCCAGAGGAUUGAUGAAGGCGCGAGGCGGUAGUCCGCGGACACGGCCACCACGCGGGCAGCCGCCACGAGCGCGCUCAGAAGUCAGAAAGCGGGAGCGCGCGCCGGAGAAGGCCGAGUGGACUGCGAAGGCGCCGCCGUGGAAGUAGACCAGACCAGGAGGGGCAGCUUCUCGGGCGUGCCGAGGACGUCGCUGGGUAUGUAGAGCCGCGCGGCGAGGCCGGCUCCGGCGUCGACGGCGUCCUCCAUCCCUGGACGUGGCCAUGAGGGAGGCGGCGCACGCGGCCGCUCUUGUAGCGGAUGAGGAACGGCGAGAAGUCGAAGUCGACCUCGCCCGUCCGGAUCGGGAAGAGCGACAAGAGCGCGAGCGUUGCUGUUCGGCCGUACGAGCAGGAGAGCCCUCUCUUUGUUAUUGGCAGUAAAAACUAAAAAAAAAAAAAUCAUCCGCUGGUCCAGAGCGUGGCCCUGGCACUGGCACUGGCACGGGG
rnacentral:misc_RNA from 1 species